ACAUGCUACCUGCAGUAAACUGCCGCUGUACACACACAGCCCUCAUGACCGACAGGGUCUACACACGUGCACGCCACCAGUGUCACCUGCAUCCACCUGGCUAGGAAGGGCUGCCAGGGGGCAGGGGAGUCUUAGUCCCAGCCCUGGCACCUGAUCUGGGUCUGUUGCCCCAUCUCAGUGAGUAAGAUUUCCUGCCUGGAGCCCCACCAUAACCACAGCUCAGACAUCAAACUAGCGUAAAACUCACUUUCCACUUUAUCUAUCCAUUCAGUGUCGGGUCAUUCGCUGAAGCACAGAGACAAGUCACAUGCCAACUCCUACAGCUGGGUCCCUGUGUCCCCCUCCUCAGGGUGAGUCUCCUGACCCUAACUUCCCAUCGACAGCAGUCUGGAAGCCCAAAUCCUACUCAAUGACCAGCACACAGUAGGUACUUAAGAUCAGCAGAGAAGUAACAAGGAAUCCGCUAGUUCAGCCUCCAAAGCAGAGCCUCCAUGUGUAGGGGCAGAAGAAAGGGACCUCAUUUUUUGUCCUUUGUGCAAAUUAACAAUGAUGGCUCUACAGGGCAAGAGACAUUGCUUAUGACAACUGAGGCUCAACUUCAAGCUCACCCCCCACAAGAGAGCACCUGGACGCCUCUCCGAAGAGCAACAAAUACACUUUGGAGAGUGCCGGGGAUUGCCAGGAGCGCCAACUACAUUUCCAGCCUGACACCCAGCUGCAACAAAGCAGAUUCCUUUCUUCCCUUCUCUCGAAAAGCCUAAUCCAGAUAAGCCGGACCGACAAUGGCUGCCUGGCCACGAAAGACUUCCCUUUCCCGGGUGAUGGGACUCACACCUGGUGACAUCAGCCUGGCACAGUUCUAAGUGUAGGGGUGGCCAAACACCAGCUCCCAAUGCUUCCGCACCCAAAGCCCCAGCUUCAGCCAAGAGCGACUGCCCUUCCCCUUCCCCCCACAUUGCCAGUCUAGGACUAACCUACCCAGCAACAUCAGGACAGCAGGACAAUUCCGAAGGGAAGCCAUUCAGUUUUCCAAGACAGUUGGGAAUCUUCUCCAAGAUGAGUAUUUUACCAAGUAAAGAGAGUAACAAGGGAGUCAGAUAUGCAAAAACAUUAAGACCACAUACACGCCAAAGUGAUCACUAGUGAUAUUUAUUUCUUUAAUUUUUCUUACUUUAAUUUUCUCUUAUUAGGGUGGGUGUGGGAAACCACCCUGGGCCACAAUUUCUAAUUCUCCCUCUUACCUGUGCUACCUUCUAUAGCCCAGGUAGAGUGAGGAAAUCGCUCACCACCUCCCGCAUGACCCUCGAAUACACUCAGCGCAUAGGGGCCUUUCUUCCCCAGAGUUCCAGGAACAGACUUGAAGCUAGCCAUCUGCCUAGACUCAAAGCUAAGAAGACAGUAUGUGCCUCUGUGGAUGGAUAAAGCCAUAAAAUAUCAUUCCGCCAUUAGAGGAGCCGAAACCUGGCUGCAUUGUAUUACCUGAAGCAAGACACACACACCAAAAAAAAAAAAAAAAAAAAAAAAGAUACAUAGUAUAUAGUUUCAUUCUUUUGAAGCUAAAACGUUGAUCUCAGCCCAGUAAAACAGUGGUCACUAGAAAUGGGGAAGGUAGAUGGCGGGAGAAAUGGGGGGGGAGAGGUGGAGGGAGGUGAGAUCACAGGCUCCAAAGUGCAGUUAGGCGGAGGCGGGGAGCAAGUGUGGUUUAUGUACACACAGUAGGGUGACUACAGUUCACAGGCAUCUGUGGGGUAUUUCAAAUUGACAAGAUGACUCUGAGGCUAUCAACACACAGGAAUGAUGGGUACUGAAGAGGGGAAAGUGAUAAUUACCCUGACUUGAUCUUGACACAUUGUAAACACUUAAUUAUCACACCAUAGCCCCAUAAAUACAUGCAAAUGUUGCAUGUUCAUUAAAACUAAACAUGCGCCCAGAAAAAAAGGGGGGCUGGGAAUUUGCCAGGAGCUGCAUUUGCAUAGAGCAGUUGGCAUGGGCAAGUAUCCGGGGGCUGUCUCUGGGAGAACAAGGGCAGCCACCUCCACCCUCCACUGGGCUUUACACAGUUUCAUUUAAUUCCUAAUAAAUGGAGUAUUAGCUCAUUUUACAGAUAAGUAAACUGAGGUCCCAGGAAAGGCUAAGAACUUGCCCAAGAUCCUACAGUUGACUUGGGAUAGGGUCAAGACUGGGACACCGUCCAUCAGAUGCCAGGUCUACAGCCACUGUUAAGUCCAACCCCUACCCUCCUCCUCUCCACCCCAUACUCCACUCUCCUUCCACUCAUGGACACCCGCCCCACCCACCCGACCACCCAGGUUGCCAGCCUGCAGCUGGAGGGCUUCAAACUUCCAGCAAAUGGAUUUCUGAACUCGAUCUUCUUUCCCCCCUGAUGGGAGGCUGAAAAGACUUCUCUGCUCUUGAUAACUGCUGUCUUAGGCUUUCAAAAACAUCAGGGAGGCUUAGACCUACCCAGGAAGCCCUAGGUGCCCACUAGGGUCAGAGCCCCCUAGUUCAGGACUUCCUCAUCUGAAGGAAGCAUAGGGUUGCAAGGAUUCCCCUCCCCUCCCAGCCACACCUGCCAGGUUCUCUGUCCACAGAGCCCAGCCCCAGGCUGCUCUGCACAAUGAAUCCCCGUCUGCAAAGAAUGUGUAUAAAUCCUGGGGCUCCACGCAAGGAAGCCAGAUCUCAGGGGCCCGGCAGCAAAUCCCAGGAUAAAAGCCGAGACCAUCCUGCUGACAAUUCAUUCGCGCUUCUCCCUCAAAUCCAUCCACAACAGAACUGUUAAGCUCAUGUUUCCUGCAAACAAUUGUAAAAAUGAUUGGUAUCUGCCCUGGUGGAGAACCCCGUCUGCUUCAUCCCCAGGGCUUGGGCUUCCUGGAAGGGUUGCAUGUGUGAGAAACAGGCAUUCCCAAGACGCACAGAUAAUGGCUUCUUGUGGAGAACCUAAUCACUCAGCUCUGAGAGGAGAAAUGUAAAGACUGCUCAACACACCCAAGAGCUCUCCAAAUGGAAGCCAGAAGAAGCCCACCACAGACUCCAGGUGGGGCACCUUAAGGCAAGAUAGCUUAAGGUAUGUCUGACCCUUUCCAUGGGGUAUCAUCCUGCUGCUUGGGCUCCCGGGAUGAGACUUCUAACCUCCUGCCCAGACCUCUUUCCUGUCUUUGUAGCUCUAAAUGCCUUCUGAAGCAAAUGUGGCAUUGAGGAGUGGGGUACAAGGAAGAGAGCUCUAGCUAUUGACCAGCAUAUCUGUUUCUGACCCCAGAGCUGAUACUCACUGGCUGUGCCUUCGGGGUCGAGCCUGGUCUCUUUGGGUUUUCUCAUCAGGACAUUCGGAACAGAUGCCCUCGGCGUACCCAGCCAGCUGACGUCCCGUCAGUGGGGCCUGUGGAGUCAAAAGACAUUUACGUGAGGUAGCACUACAGAACCAACAGCCAACCCCCAGUCAGGACAGACACUGGCACCUCCGUGGCACUGGGCACAGUGUGAGGCAUCACAUACAGGCCACGGCAACUCAAACAGAAGAGGGGAAUACCUCUUCAACCUGAAGCAACCUGGAGUGGAUGUGCUAGUAGAAAGACCAUUUUCCACAGUGAGUUCUGUGAGGAAUGCACCAUCUGUUCCUUUCCACAUCCUCCCCUCUCCCAGCGAUGGCUCUGUCUCUCCCAUGUUGACUAUCCAUGGAGGGAGAAGCACAAGCCCCAUUUUUUUUCCUUUUCUUUUAUUGGAUAUUUCCUUUAUAUUUCGAAUGUUACCCCUUUCCUGGUUUCACCUCUGGUUUCAACAUCCCCCUGCUUCUGUGAAGGUAUACCCCUAGCCCCUCACCCACUCCCACCUCCCCGCCCUGGCACUCCCCUACACUGGGGCAUGGAGCCUUCACAGGACCAAGUGCCUUUCCUCCCAUUGGUGCCCGGCAAGGCCACCCUCUGCUGCAUAUGUGGCUGGAGUCAUGGGUCACUCCAUGUGUACUCUUUGGUCGGUUGUUUAGUCCCUGGGAGCUCUGGGGGGUCUGGUUGCCUGACAUUGUUGUUCUUCCUAUGGAGCUGCAAACCCCUUCGUCUUCUUCAGUCCUCAUUUUUUUUA